rnacentral:rRNA from 1 species
GAUGAACGCUGGCGGCGUGCUUAACACAUGCAAGUCGAACGGUGAAGGCGGAGCUUGCUCUGCUGGAUCAGUGGCGAACGGGUGAGUAACACGUGAGCAAUCUGCCCCUGACUCUGGGAUAAGCGCUGGAAACGGCGUCUAAUACUGGAUACGAGCUGCGAAGGCAUCUUCAGCAGCUGGAAAGAACUUCGGUCAGGGAUGAGCUCGCGGCCUAUCAGCUUGUUGGUGAGGUAACGGCUCACCAAGGCGUCGACGGGUAGCCGGCCUGAGAGGGUGACCGGCAACCUGGGGCUGGAGAACGGGCCCAGACUCCAAGGGGGGGAAGAGGGGGGAAUAAUUGAAAAAGGGGGAAAGGCUGGAGGCACAACCGCGGGGGGAGGAAGAAGGGCCUGGGGGUGUAAAACCUCUUUGAGAGGGAAAGAAGAAAAAGGGAGGUAACCUGAAAAAAAGGCGCCGGCAAACUAGGUG